UACGUAGGGUGCGAGCGUUUGUCCGGAAUUAUUGGGCGUAAAGAGCUUGUAGGCGGUUUGUCGCGUCUGCCGUGAAAUUUCGAGGCUCAACCUCGAACUUGCGGUGGGUACGGGGCAGACUAGAGUGUGGUAGGGGAGACUGGAAUUCCUGGUGUAGCGGUGAAAUGCGCAGAUAUCAGGAGGAACACCGAUGGCGAAGGCAGGUCUCUGGGCCACUACUGACGCUGAGAAGCGAAGGCAUGGGGGAGCGAACAGGG
rnacentral:rRNA from 1 species